GUGGGAGAAGAGGGGGAACACAACAGACCCCUUCACAUUCAUAUCGCUCAUGGGGGUGAAGCAAGAACAGCAAUCCACAGUUUAACACUCUCCCUGCUAGAUCAGAAGAGGCCUCUUUGGGAGACCCAUGCCAGGAGCUUGUUUGCAAGUUAAACAGAUUCCAGGGCUGGGUGUAAGCACUGCUAAGAACACAGUCACUAAGCUGCCAGCUUUGGGUCGCCUUUGGUGAUCUAGAUGGCCACCCCUGACCCUCUAAAACCCCUGGGAUUCCAGAGAGUGAGCAGGCUUUAUGUACUUAUCCAUUCCCAUCACAACAAUAGCCAAAUGAUUCCAGAGUUACAGGCUCAAGGGAUGACACAGACAGAACUAAUCAUAAUUUGGGGCCUGAAGGUAGGUUAAACAACUUCUUUUAUCAUUUCAUGCCUUAUCCUCCCAAAUAGAAAUUAAGAAAUACAUUCAAAAAACCCAGAAAAGUAAAUUGAAAAUUAAUUUUUAUGGGGAUCUGAAUAAGUCAGAAAUUUGGUCAACAUCCGGAAUACUUUCUGGAAUAUAAGGGAGAAAAGAGUUUGGAAAUAAAGAAAAUGGAUGGGAUUUAUCCUUUUUUCAAAAUGGCAGUUUUUUUUCUUUUAAACUGAAAGCAGAGGACUGGAUUAACCCCUGAGCAGCAUUUUCCUGAAAUUCAGGAAAAUCUGGCAGUACCUUUGCUUCUCUCUCGAUAUGUUUUCUUCUUUAAAAAAAAAAAAAAGGAUUAUUUGUCUUUCAUUUCCUCUAUUUCCUCAGACCAUCAUCUCAUUUUAGGAGAUAGGAUUUCUGGAACGGAGAGCACACAACAUGUUCACAACAUCCUCCACAUUUUCAAACCUAAGAGUCACUGAUAUAUCUCUUUAGGGGUAAGACCCCACAGAAAUUGCACGCAAAGACAGGUCCAAUGAGGUGCAAGACUUCAGCCGCUGCUCUACACAGACUUUGUCAUGUGAUUUCAGGCAGAAACUGGGCUUUAGUCUAUAAGGGCACAGUAUUGUGGCUUUUCAGCACAGCCAGGAAUGUCCAAGCUAUCUGCCUGUUAUCCUGUAUGUUGGGUAUGAUCUGGGGCAAACUAAAUGGUCCUGCAUGGACCAGAAGACUGGUUCAUAACGGUGGUCCAUUUUCCUGAAUACAACUGGCUGAAGCUUGUGCACUGGAAUUCUGAGCCCAAACUCAAGUGCUUCAAGUGCAAGGGCAACAGUCCUGUGGAAGGCAACAUCACUACAGUGUUAUAUGCACUCAAAUGGCAGCAUGUUGACUCUGCAGUAAUAACUCAUUUAAAUGAAUAUGUGGGUAGAUAUGUUUUCAUUGAUCAAGCAUAUGACGUGGAGAACAAGCAGCCUUGAAAACAUCUAGACAAGCCUGGAAGAGUGCAGCUGUUAGCAUUGCAAACUACAUUAUCACCAUAUAUUUAGAUUGUUAUUAAGUGAACUUUAAGUAAGGCAUCCUCCAUUUGUCAUUUUCCCCCCCUGGUGAAUUCAGCUACCAACAUUGAUUUACUUUUUUUUUUUAAUCUGAAAAUUUGGCUAUUAACUUUUCAAAACUUAUUAAUCUGUUUUCACUUCAUUGGUAGCAGCUUCCCCCCACCUUCUACUUAGCUUGUUAAAACUCAGAGUUGAUUAAAUAUGACACAACAGUAAAAUAUUACAUAAGCUCACAAGAAAAUUUUUAUUUCAUUAUCGGCACAAAGUGAGUCAUCUUGAAUAUGACACUGGCUUUGGCUCCAUUUUCUCUCACUUUUUUGCUCUGGUUUUAUAUUUAAUCACAGCUUUUUUCUCCCUCUCUUUGCUUGUACGAUUUUGUUUUUUAGAUCCACAGCAGAACGAUCCAACUUUGUUCUUACACUAUUAAUUAACACCACGCUCUAGUUUCCAACAUACUUAAAUGAUGAAUAAGGUUAAAUUCCAGACAACGUUCUGUACAUUGCCAUCAAUUAACAAUUUUCGAGGCAGCGCUUCAUUAAUAAACACUGAUCAGCAGAGCCCUUGUGUGGAGUGCAUUGGAGCUGAGAAAUUGUAUCAGAGCUUCUUUAAUAUGUGAGCUGGAGUGUGUGGUGUGUAUGAGCCCGUGCACAAGUGUGUAUGUGUGCGUGUGUGAAAAAAAAUCAAUGCAAUAUCCUAGGAAACUCAUCAGCACAUCAUCUCCUUAAAGGUUAAUUAAGAAUUUGAGGAAGAACAG